rnacentral:rRNA from 1 species
AUACUGAGGGUGCAAGCGUUAAUCGGAAUUACUGGGCGUAAAGCGCACGUAGGCGGUUUAUUAAGUCAGAUGUGACAGCCCUGGGCUUAACCUGGGAACUGCAUUUGAGACUGGUAGGCUAGAGUAUGGUAGAGGAUAGUGGAAUUCCGGGUGUAGCGGUGAAAUGCGUAGAUAUCCGGAGGAACAUCAGUGGCGAAGGCGGCUAUCUGGACCAAUACUGACGCUGAGGUGCGAAAGCGUGGGGAGCAAACAGGAUUAGAUACCCUAGUAGUCC